ensembl:ncRNA lncRNA:CR44447 long non-coding RNA:CR44447
UAAAAUGAAUCGGUCGUUCAAACUCAAAACUAUGAUAUUAAGAUAUUUUUAAGUUCGGUUUCAAAUCAGGAAAGCAAAAUUAAAUAACUUCCGUUUAUUUACCUCUUAAAUGAACAGGAGACCAGCUGUCUUAGAGUUCACCCACCUGGACACAUCUGCACUUUCCUUGGCGGUGACCUCCAAUCCAAAUUGCUGUUCAUUUAAACAAAAUGAAAUUCGUGCAAUUAAGACCGGGCUGCUGCUCUUGAUGGCGACGAUGAUGGCGUUGCAUGUUGUUGCGGACAGGACUCACUCACCUGGCCGCCCACCUCCUUGACCUCUGACCCCCCGUCCCCUGCUCCUUCCACGCGCUUUGGCGGUCGCGUCCUUUGGCUGCCAGAUGUUCGCGUCCUCCGGUUCCAACUGCUGUUCAUGUCCUUUGGCAUCUACGUGCAGCUCUUCAUUUGCAUCCGCAGCGAGGACCUGGUCUACGUCCUUCAUUAUAUGGGCCGCUGGCGGGAAGCAGCGUAAAAUAGGUUAGAGGUUAAUUUUAGUGCAAAGUUAUGCGCCCGAAAGUAUGCAAUUAGAUUGCGCCCGGCCAGGAGCAGCCUCCUGCGAUCCU